rnacentral:rRNA from 1 species
AAGUAAAAGUCGUAACAAGGUUUCCGUAGGUGAACCUGCGGAAGGAUCAUUAUCAUACAAUGGAGGUGCUGGGGUUGUCGCUGACUUUUGAAAGGGUCGUGCACACCUCGGUGCUCUCGCAUAUAAUCCAUCUCACCCCUUUUGUGCAUCACCGCGUGGGGACCCCUUUUGGCUAGUUCUGAGGGGGGUUUUCACGUUUUUACACAGACACCCUUUUAAUGCAAUGUGCAGAAUGUCUUACUUUUUGCGAUCACACGCAAUCAAUACAACUUUCAACAACGAUCUCUCGUAAUGUGAAUUGCAGAAUUCAGUGAAUCAUCGAAUCUUUGAACGCACCUUGCGCCCUUUGGCAUUCCGAGGGGCACACCCGUUUGAGUGUCGUGACAUCCUCAAAACCUUCUUGGUUUCUUGACCAGGAAGGCUUUUGGACUUUGGAGGCUUUUGCUGGCCUUCCUUUGUUGGAGCCAGCUCCUCUGAAAUGAAUUAGUGGGGUCUGCUUUGCUGAUCCUUGACGUGAUAAGAUGUUUUCUACGUCUUGGGUUUCGCACUGUUCGAUCUGGAUCCUGCUUCUAACUGUCUCAUAGAAGACAAUGGUCAAGUGAUUGCCACUUGACCCACAAACCUUGACCUCAAAUCGGGUGAGACUACCCGCUGAACUUAAGCAUAUCAAUAAGCGGAGGAA